GACGAACGCUGGCGGCGUGCUUAACACAUGCAGGUCGAACGGAAAGGCCUGCUUUCCCUUGUGGAUUGCGGGUACUCGAGUGGCGAACGGGUGAGUAACACGUGAGUGAUCUGCCCCCAACUUGGGUAUAAGCCUGGGAAACUGGGUCUAAUUCCCGAUAGGACUGCAGGGUGGUGCCUGUGGUGGAAAACGAUUUUCUAGUGGUUGGGGAUGAGCUCGCGGCCUAUCAGCUUGUUGGUGGGGUAAUGGCCUACCAAGGCGGCGACGGGUAGCCGGCCUGAGAGGGUGGACGGCCACAUUGGGACUGAGAUACGGCCCAGACGCCUACGGGAGGCAGCAGUGGGGAAGAUGGCACAAUGGGCGGAAGCCUGAUGCAGCGACGCCGCGUGGGGGAUGACGGCCUUCGGGUUGUAAACUCCUUUCGACCGCGAGGAAGCCACCUGGUUGGAAGGGUGGUGACGGUAGUGGUAGAAGAAGCACCGGCUAACUACGUG
rnacentral:rRNA from 1 species